AAACGCCGUAUGCGGAACCGCACGUACGGUGUUGUGGGAGGCGACGGGCUAUAUCCCGUCACCUACCCGAU
rnacentral:ncRNA from 1 species